rnacentral:rRNA from 1 species
CAAGUCGAACGAGACCUUCGGGUCUAGUGGCGCACGGGUGCGUAACGCGUGGGAAUCUGCCCUUGGGUCUGGAAUAACAGUUAGAAAUGACUGCUAAUACCGGAUGAUGACUUCGGUCCAAAGAUUUAUCGCCCAGGGAUGAGCCCGCGUCGGAUUAGCUAGUUGGUGGGGUAAAAGCUCACCAAGGCGACGAUCCGUAGCUGGUCUGAGAGGAUGAUCAGCCACACUGGGACUGAGACACGGCCCAGACUCCUACGGGAGGCAGCAGUGGGGAAUAUUGGACAAUGGGCGCAAGCCUGAUCCAGCAAUGCCGCGUGAGUGAUGAAGGCCUUAGGGUUGUAAAGCUCUUUUACCCGGGAUGAUAAUGACAGUACCGGGAGAAUAAGCCCCGGCUAACUCCGUGCCAGCAGCCGCGGUAAUACGGAGGGGGCUAGCGUUGUUCGGAAUUACUGGGCGUAAAGCGCACGUAGGCGGCUUUGUAAGUUAGAGGUGAAAGCCCAGGGCUUAACCCUGGAAUUGCCUUUAAGACUGCAUCGCUAGAAUCGUGGAGAGGUGAGUGGAAUUCCGAGUGUAGAGGUGAAAUUCGUAGAUAUUCGGAAGAACACCAGUGGCGAAGGCGACUCACUGGACACNUAUUGACGCUGAGGUGCGAAAGCNUGGGGAGCAAACAGGAUUAGAUACCCUGGUAGUCCACGCCGUAAACGAUGAUGACUAGCUGUCUGGGCGCUUAUCGGUUCAGGUGGCGCA